AGACUUCAGCUUUCCUGGAUCACUGGGCUGCCAGGGUGAUAUGCCACCAGUGUGGCCCAGCAAGAGCCCCCCAACCCUUCUCAUGAGGAACUGAAAGAUAGUUCCAGUGACAGAUGACAGCUUUAGAGGAGGGAUGUGCUUAUUGGUCCGCCCAGUCCCCACCUUGGCUAUCUUCAUGUUUAUUUUCUGCCUGACCUUGGAAACUUGAUUCAUGAAAUGCUUCCUCUUCAAAAAGAUUUAUGGGAAGAACAUUAGGAC